rnacentral:rRNA from 1 species
AUGACAGUGAAACUGGUCGGACCCUGCGAUGUACGGCACCGCUGCAGGUGCAAUCUCCAUUGUUACGACAGCCUUGACCAUUUACUGAACCAAGUAGUAGCACAUGCUAUUUCCAGCUUAUCAAGAAGCACUACUAAUCGCAUCCAAGAUGUGCAUACACGCACCACCUCCCCUGGGUACACAACUGCAGUAGGAGCGCUCAAAGACGGCUUGUUGGGACAAUUUAGACGCGGGCACGGCGGCUCAGCAGAGGCAAGCGGGGACAGAGUCCAGCGCAGCUGGCAGCGAUGCGCCGGAUUUCGCCGGCGCGUGGACACAUCGGCGUGCUACCCGGCCAUCGCGGGACGCGGCGCAAAGAGAGCCGGUCACGACCACUGGAGUAUACUGCAGCCGAAGUGGCGUCAGGCUAUGUCAAUUUUGGAGGCGGCGGCUCAGAGGUGCCCCGACAAAUUCGCGAUGGAGGGCGGACCAUGA